CCUACGGGCGGCAGCAGUGGGGAAUAUUGGACAAUGGGCGAAAGCCUGAUCCAGCCAUGCCGCGUGUGUGAAGAAGGCCUUCGGGUUGUAAAGCACUUUCAGUGGGGAAGAAAGCCUUGGGGCUAAUACCCUCGAGGAAGGACAUCACCCACAGAAGAAGCACCGGCUAACUCCGUGCCAGCAGCCGCGGUAAUACGGAGGGUGCGAGCGUUAAUCGGAAUUACUGGGCGUAAAGCGCGCGUAGGCGGUCUGAUAAGCCGGUUGUGAAAGCCCCGGGCUCAACCUGGGAACGGCAUCCGGAACUGUCAGGCUAGAGUGAAGGAGAGGAAGGUAGAAUUCCCGGUGUAGCGGUGAAAUGCGUAGAGAUCGGGAGGAAUACCAGUGGCGAAGGCGGCCUUCUGGACUGACACUGACGCUGAGGUGCGAAAGCGUGGGUAGCAAACAGGAUUAGAUACCCCGGUAGUC
rnacentral:rRNA from 1 species